rnacentral:rRNA from 1 species
UACGUAGGGUCCAAGCGUUAUCCGGAAUCACUGGGCGUAAAGCGUGCGUAGGCGGAUGUUUAAGUGCAAUGCGAAAUCCUGUGGCUCAACCAUAUGGACUGUAUUGCAUACUGGAUAUCUGGAGGAAUGCAGAGGCAAGUGGAAUUACCGGUGUAGCAGUGAAAUGCGUAGAUAUCGGUAGGAACACCAAUGGCGAAGGCGGAUCUCUGGACAGUUACUGACACUGAGGCACGAAGGCCAGGGGAGCAAACGGG